rnacentral:rRNA from 1 species
UACGUAGGGUGCGAGCGUUGUCCGGAAUUAUUGGGCGUAAAGGGCUCGUAGGCGGUCUGUUGCGUCGGGAGUGAAAACUCAGGGCUUAACCCUGAGCCUGCUUCCGAUACGGGCAGACUAGAGGUAUGCAGGGGAGAACGGAAUUCCUGGUGUAGCGGUGAAAUGCGCAGAUAUCAGGAGGAACACCGGUGGCGAAGGCGGUUCUCUGGGCAUUACCUGACGCUGAGGAGCGAAAGUGUGGGGAGCAGACAGG